rnacentral:rRNA from 1 species
UCGGGAAUUUUGGGCAAUGGGCGAAAGCCUGACCCAGCAACGCCGCGUGAGGGAUGAAGGCCCUCGGGUCGUAAACCUCUGUCGGGAGGGAAGAACGGGUGCUCUUCGAAUAGGUGAGCAGCCUGACGGUACCUCCAAAGGAAGCACCGGCUAACUCCGUGCCAGCAGCCGCGGUAAUACGGAGGGUGCAAGCGUUGUUCGGAAUCAUUGGGCGUAAAGCGCGUGUAGGCGGCUUGGCAAGUCGGGUGUGAAAGCCCGGGGCUCAACCCCGGAAAUGCACUCGAAACUGCCUGGCUAGAGUCCCGGAGAGGAAGGCAGAAUUCCCGGUGUAGGGGUGAAAUCCGUAGAUAUCGGGAGGAAUACCAGUGGCGAAGGCGGCCUUCUGGACGGUGACUGACGCUGAGACGCGAAAGCGUGGGGAGCAAACAGGAUUAGAUACCCCCGUAGUCC